CCUCUUGAGUAUGAUGAGUACUGUUGCCUUCCAAGCAGAAAGAUUAGGGUGUCCUAAAAGAGGA
rnacentral:tRNA from 1 species